rnacentral:lncRNA from 1 species
AACAAUCUUAGUGGUCCCAUCCCACCUUCCAUAGGAAACUUGAGGAAUUUAACCACUUUGCAUCUUUAUGAAAACAAGCUUUCUAGUCCCAUCCCUCAUGAAAUUGGAUUGUUCAGAUCUCUUAAUGAUCUUGAGUUGUCAACUAACAAUCUCAGUGGUCCUAUCCCACCUUCCAUAGGAAACUUGAGGAAUUUAACCACUUUGUAUCUUGAUGAAAACGAGCUUUCUAGUUACAUCCCUCAUGAAAUUGGAUUGUUGAGAUGUCUUAAUGAUCUUGUGUUGCAUAUUAACAAUCUCAAUGGUCCCAUCCCGCUUUCCAUAGGAAACUUGAGGAAUUUAACCACUUUGUAUCUUUAUGAAAAAAAGCUUUCUGGUUCCAUCCCUCAUGAAAUUGGAUUUUUGAGAUCUCUUAAUGAUCUUGACUUGUCAAAUAACAAUCUCAGUGGUCCUAUCCCACCUUCCAUAGGAAACUUGAGGAAUUUAACCACUUUGUAUCUUUAUGAAAACAAGCUUUCUGGUUCCAUCCCUCAUGAAAUUGGAUUGUUGAGAUCUCUUAAUGAUCUUGAGUUUUCAAAUAACAAUCCCAGUGGCCUCAUCCCACCUUCCAUAGGAAACUUGAGGAAUCUAACCACUUUGUAUCUUCAUAAAAACAAGCUUUCUGGUUCUAUCCCUCAAGAAAUUGGAUUGUUGAGAUCUCUUAAUGAUCUUGAGUUGUCAACUAAUAGUCUCAGUGGUCCUAUAUCGCCUUCCAUAGGAAACUUGAGGAAUUUAACCACUUUGUAUCUUUAUGAAAACAAGCUUUUUGGUUCCAUCCCUCAUGAAAUUGGAUUGUUGAGAUCUCUUAAUGAUCUUGACUUGUCAAAUAACAAUCUCAGUGGUCUCAUCCCACCUUCCAUAGGAAACUUGAGGAAUUUAACCAUUUUGUAUCUUCAGAAAAACAAGAUUUCUGGUCCCAUCCCUCAAGAAAUUGGAUUGUUGAGAUCUCUUAAUGAUCUUGCGUUCUAUACUAACAAUCUCAGUGGUCCCAUCCCACAUUCCAUAGGAAACUUAAGGAAUUUAACCACUUUGCAUCUUUAUGAAAACAAGCUUUCUGGUCCCAUCUCUCAUGAAAUUGGAUUGUUCAGAUCUCUUAAUGAUCUUGAGUUGUCAAUUAACAAUCUCAGUGGUCCUAUCCCACCUUCCAUAGGAAACUUGAGGAAUUUAACCACUUUGUAUCUUGAUGAAAAAAAGCUUUCUGGUUCCAUCCCUCAUGAAAUUGGAUUGUUGAGAUCUCUUAAUGAUCUUGCGUUCCAUACUAACAAUCUCAAUGGUCCCAUCCCGCCUUCCAUAGGAAACUUGAGGAAUUUAACCACUUUGCAUCUUUAUGAAAACAAGCUUUCUGGUCCCAUCCCUCAUGAAAUUGGAUUGUUCAGAUCUCUUAAUGAUCUUGAGUUGUCAACUAACAAUCUCAGUGGUCCUAUCCCACCUUCCAUAGGAAACUUGAGGAAUUUAACCACUUUGUAUCUUGAUGAAAACGAGCUUUCUAGUUACAUCCCUCAUGAAAUUGGAUUGUUGAGAUGUCUUAAUGAUCUUGCGUUGCAUACUAACAAUCUCAAUGGUCCCAUCCCGC